UCAGUGAACAGAUUGAGUGCA
rnacentral:siRNA from 1 species